GACGAACGCUGGCGGCGUGCUUAACACAUGCAAGUCGAACGGAAAGGCCCUGCUUUUGUGGGGUGCUCGAGUGGCGAACGGGUGAGUAACACGUGAGUAACCUGCCCUUGACUUUGGGAUAACUUCAGGAAACUGGGGCUAAUACCGGAUAGGAGCUCCUGCUGCAUGGUGGGGGUUGGAAAGUUUCGGCGGUUGGGGAUGGACUCGCGGCUUAUCAGCUUGUUGGUGGGGUAGUGGCUUACCCAGGCUUUGACGGGUAGCCGGCCUGAGAGGGUGACCGGCCACAUGGGUACUGAGAUACGGCCCAGACUCCUACGGGAGGCAGCAGUGGGGAAUAUUGCACAAUGGGCGGAAGCCUGAUGCAGCAACGCCGCGUGCGGGAUGACGGCCUUCGGGUUGUAAACCGCUUUCGCCUGUGACGAAGCGUGAGUGACGGUAAUGGGUAAAGAGGCACCGGCUAACUACGUG
rnacentral:rRNA from 1 species